rnacentral:rRNA from 1 species
CUACGGGGCGCUGCAGUGGGGGAUAUUGCACAAUGGGCGAAAGCCUGAUGCAGCAACGCCGCGUGAAGGAAGACGGAUUUCGGUCUGUAAACUUCUAUCAGCUGGGAAGAAAAUGACGGUACCAGACUAAGAAGCCCCGGCUAACUACGUGCCAGCAGCCGCGGUGAAUACGUAGGGGGCAAGCGUUAUCCGGAUUUACUGGGUGUAAAGGGUACGUAGGCGGUCGCUUAAGUCAGAUGUGAAAGCCCGAAGCUCAACUUCGGGACUGCAUUUGAAACUGGGUGACUAGAGUACAGGAGAGGAAAGCGGAAUUCCUAGUGUAGCGGUGAAAUGCGUAGAUAUUAGGAAGAACACCAGUGGCGAAGGCGGCUUUCUGGACUGUAACUGACGCUGAGGUACGAAAGCGUGGGGAGCGAACAGGAUUAGAUACCCUAGUAGUC